rnacentral:rRNA from 1 species
GACGUAGGAGGCGAGCGUUGUCCGGAUUUACUGGGCGUAAAGCGCGCGCAGGCGGUCGCGCAGGUCAUCUGUGAAAGCCCCCGGCUCAACCGGGCGGAUGCGGGUGAAACCGCGCGACUGGAGGGUGGGAGAGGUCGGCGGAAUUCCCGGUGUAGUGGUGAAAUGCGUAGAUAUCGCUUGGAACGCCAACGGUGAAAACAGGUUGCUGGGGGUGUGCUGACGCUGAGACACGAAAGCCAGGGGAGCGAACGGG